CGGCUUCGGGACACUCAUACCCUUCGUUAUCAUCGUCAUUAGCAAUUUGUGGAUCAUCAUCACGGUUCACAAAGCGAACAAGGAGAGAACAACGAUGGAGGUCGCCGGAUCCAAGGGUCAGAAGAGGCGUGACAAGGACACCAAGUAUCUAACUCGGAUGUUGAUCCUUGUCUGCAUCGCUUACGUCAUGUGUUCAAUCCCUUACAGGAUGUAUGACUCUGUGAUGAACAUCCCAGCCCUCAAAGACAUAUACAACUUAGAAGACCCUUAUUGGAUCCUCCGCU